AGUGAACGCUGGCGGCGUGCCUAAUACAUGCAAGUCGAACGGAGUGGCGCACGGGUGAGUAAUAUAUAGCUAACUUGCCCAUUACUAAGGGACAACAGUUGGAAACGACUGCUAAUACCUUAUAGUAAUGGAUAGGGCUAUAUCGUAUCAGCUAGUUGGUAAGGUAACGGCUUACCAAGGCUAUGACGCGUAACUGGUCUGAGAGGAUGAUCAGUCACAUUGGAACUGAGACACGGUACAAACUCCUACGAGAGGCAGCAGUAAGGAAUAUUGCGCAGUGGGGGGAACCCUGACGCAGCAACGCCGCGUGGAGGAUGACACUUUUCGGGGCGUAAACUCCGUUUAUCAGGAAAGCGGUACCUGAUGAAUAAGCACCGGCUAACUCCGUGCCAGCCGCCGCGGUAAUAC
rnacentral:rRNA from 1 species